UACGGGGGGGGCAAGCGUUGUUCGGAAUUACUGGGCGUAAAGGGCUCGUAGGCGGCCAACUAAGUCGGAUAUGAAAUCCCCAGGCUCAACCUGGGAACUGCAUCCGAUACUGGAUGGCUUGAAUUCGGGAGAGGGAUGCAGAAUUCCAGGUGUAGCGGUGAAAUGCGUAGAUAUCUGGAGGAAUACCGGUGGCGAAGGCGGCAUCCUGGACCGACAUUGACGCUGAGGAGCGAAAGCCAGGGGAGCAAACGGG
rnacentral:rRNA from 1 species